rnacentral:misc_RNA from 1 species
GAUGAAGAAAGCAGCGAAAUGCGAUAAGUAAUGUGAAUUGCAGAAUUCAGUGAAUCAUCGAAUCUUUGAACGCACAUUGCGCCCCCUGGUAUUCCGGGGGGCAUGCCUGUCCGAGCGUCAUUACAACCCUCAAGCUCAGCUUGGUGUUGGGCCCCGCCGCCCCGGCGGGCCCUAAAGUCAGUGGCGGUGCCGUCCGGCUCCGAGCGUAGUAAUUCUUCUCGCUCUGGAGGUCCGGUCGUGUGCUCGCCAGCAACCCCCAAUUUUUUUCAGGUUGACCUCGGAUCAGGUAGGGAUACCCGCUGAACUUAAGCAUAUCAAUAAGCGGAGGA